rnacentral:rRNA from 1 species
UGGGGAAUAUUGCACAAUGGGCGCAAGCCUGAUGCAGCCAUGCCGCGUGUGUGAAGAAGGCCUUCGGGUUGUAAAGCACUUUCAGCGAGGAGGAAGGUGGUGAGCUUAAUACGCUCAUCAAUUGACGUUACUCGCAGAAGAAGCACCGGCUAACUCCGUGCCAGCAGCCGCGGUAAUACGGAGGGUGCAAGCGUUAAUCGGAAUUACUGGGCGUAAAGCGCACGCAGGCGGUUUGUUAAGUCAGAUGUGAAAUCCCCGGGCUCAACCUGGGAACUGCAUUUGAAACUGGCAAGCUAGAGUCUCGUAGAGGGGGGUAGAAUUCCAGGUGUAGCGGUGAAAUGCGUAGAGAUCUGGAGGAAUACCGGUGGCGAAAGGCGGCCCCCCUGGANGAAGACUGACGCUCAGGUGCGAAAAGGCGUGGGGGAGCAAAACAGGAUUAGAUACCCUGGUAGUCCACGCUGUAAACGAUGUCGAUUUUGGAGGUUGUGCCCC